rnacentral:rRNA from 1 species
GACGAACGCUGGCGGCGUGCUUAACACAUGCAAGUCGAACGGAAAGGCCCUGCUUUUGUGGGGUGCUCGAGUGGCGAACGGGUGAGUAACACGUGAGUAACCUGCCCUUGACUUUGGGAUAACUUCAGGAAACUGGGGCUAAUACCGGAUAGGAGCUCCUGCUGCAUGGUGGGGGUUGGAAAGUUUCGGCGGUUGGGGAUGGACUCGCGGCUUAUCAGCUUGUUGGUGGGGUAGUGGCUUACCAAGGCUUUGACGGGUAGCCGGCCUGAGAGGGUGACCGGCCACAGUGGGACUGAGAUAGGGCCCAGACUCCUACGGGAGGCAGCAGUGGGGAAUAUUGCACAAUGGGCGGAAGCCUGAUGCAGCAACGCCGCGUGCGGGAUGACGGCCUUCGGGUUGUAAACCGCUUUCGCCUGGGACGAAGCGUGAGUGACGGUAAUGGGUAAAGAAGCACCGGCUAACUACGUG